CUUGGGAUGCUAGGUUGUAUGAUAAAUUUUGAUAUGUGUAUAUGUAUAUUUUAUGGGCCCAUUGCAUAAAAAUGUCAUGAGCAGCAAUUACGCCUCAUAUCGAGUAUCGGGGUAUUACAGAGAAGUCUCAUACCAGAAGGGGUUGGAAGGUAUAGUUCACCUUCAUACCGGAGGAGAUAUUGAAGCGAUGGUAUGUUUGGUGCCCAUUAUCGAACGGGGUAUGGGGAUAGCCGAUUGAUUAAUAAAUUGAAUAUU
rnacentral:lncRNA from 1 species